rnacentral:rRNA from 1 species
GAUGAACGCUGGCGGCGUGCCUAACACAUGCAAGUCGAGCGAUUUACUUCGGUAAAGAGCGGCGGACGGGUGAGUAACGCGUGGGUAACCUGCCCUGUACACACGGAUAACAUACCGAAAGGUAUGCUAAUACGAGAUAAUAUGCUUUUAUCGCAUGGUAGAAGUAUCAAAGCUUUUGCGGUACAGGAUGGACCCGCGUCUGAUUCGCUAGUUGGUGAGGUAACGGCUCACCAAGGCGACGAUCAGUAGCCGACCUGAGAGGGUGAUCGGCCACAUUGGAACUGAGACACGGUCCAAACUCCUACGGGAGGCAGCAGUGGGGAAUAUUGCACAAUGGGCGAAAGCCUGAUGCAGCAACGCCGCGUGAGCGAUGAAGGCCUUCGGGUCGUAAAGCUCUGUCCUCAAGGAAGAUAAUGACGGUACUUGAGGAGGAAGCCCCGGCUAACUACGUG